rnacentral:rRNA from 1 species
CCUACGGGUGGCAGCAGUGAGGAAUAUUGGUCAAUGGCCGAGAGGCUGAACCAGCCAAGUCGCGUGAGGGAAGACGGCCCUACGGGUUGUAAACCUCUUUUGUCGGGGAGCAAAGCGAGUCACGUGUGACUCAUUGAGAGUACCCGAAGAAAAAGCAUCGGCUAACUCCGUGCCAGCAGCCGCGGUAAUACGGGGGAUGCGAGCGUUAUCCGGAUUUAUUGGGUUUAAAGGGUGCGCAGGCGGGCCUUUAAGCCGGCGGUAAAAUCGCGGGGCUCAACCCCGCCGAGCCGUCGGAACUGGGUGCCUUGAGUGCUGCGGAGGCAUGCGGAAUGCGCGGUGUAGCGGUGAAAUGCAUAGAUAUCGCGCAGAACCCCGAUUGCGAAGGCAGCGUGCCGUGCCGCCACUGACGCUGAGGCACGAAAGCGCGGGGAUCGAACAGGAUUAGAUACCCCUGUAGUC